UUGUCUCAAAGAUUAAGCCAUGCAUGUCUCAGUACAAGCCAAAUUAAGGUGAAACCGCGAAAGGCUCAUUAAAUCAGUUAUGGUUCCUUAGAUCGUACCUAUAUUUACUUGGAUAACUGUGGUAAUUCUAGAGCUAAUACAUGCAAACAGAGCUCUGACCGGAGACGGAAGGAGCGCUUUUAUUAGAACAAAACCAAUCGGUGGCGGUUUCGGCCGUCAUCGUACAAUUUGUUGAAUCUGAAUAACUUUUGGCUGAUCGCACGGUCUUGCACCGGCGACGCAUCUUUCAAAUGUCUGCCUUAUCAACUGUCGAUGGUAGGUUCUGCGCCUACCAUGGUUGUAACGGGUAACGGGGAAUCAGGGUUCGAUUCCGGAGAGGGAGCCUGAGAAACGGCUACCACAUCCAAGGAAGGCAGCAGGCGCGCAAAUUACCCACUCCCGGCACGGGGAGGUAGUGACGAAAAAUAACGAUACGGGACUCAUCCGAGGCCCCGUAAUCGGAAUGAGUACACUCUAAACCCUUUAACGAGGAUCAAUUGGAGGGCAAGUCUGGUGCCAGCAGCCGCGGUAAUUCCAGCUCCAAUAGCGUAUAUUAAAGUUGUUGCGGUUAAAAAGCUCGUAGUCGAAUUUGUGUCCCGUGCCGCCGGUUCAUCGUUCGCGGUGUUAACUGGCGAGUUGCGGGACGUCCUGUCGGUGGGCUUAGCCCGCAAGGGCGGCCCAAGUUUUCCCGCCGCGGUGCUCUUCAUUGAGUGUCGAGGUGGGCCGACACGUUUACUUUGAACAAAUUAGAGUGCUUAAAGCAGGCUAAAAUUACGCCUGAAUAUUGUGUGCAUGGAAUAAUGGAAUAGGAUCUCGGUUCUAUUUUGUUGGUUUUCGGAACCCCGAGGUAAUGAUUAAUAGGAACGGAUGGGGGCAUUCGUAUUGCGACGUUAGAGGUGAAAUCUUGGAUCGUCGCAAG
rnacentral:rRNA from 1 species